AGCUUUGCACAGUGCACAUCAGAGCCAGGUUUAUCCAGGGCACAAUUAUUGGUAACUGAAAGCUCUUCCCAGUACCCCUCCAUGACGACUUGAAUUACAGUCAGCAUUGGCAAUUUCUGACGGUCUCUACAAAGA
rnacentral:snRNA from 1 species